rnacentral:rRNA from 1 species
UACGGAGGGUGCGAGCGUUAAUCGGAUUUACUGGGCGUAAAGCGUGCGCAGGCGGCCCGUUAAGACAGGUGUGAAAUCCCUGGGCUCAACCUAGGAAUUGCGCUUGUGACUGGCGGGCUCGAGUACGGUAGAGGGGGGUGGAAUUCCUGGUGUAGCAGUGAAAUGCGUAGAGAUCAGGAGGAACACCGAUGGCGAAGGCAGCCCCCUGGGCCUGUACUGACGCUGAGGUGCGAGAGCGUGGGGAGCAAACAGG